rnacentral:rRNA from 1 species
AGAGUUUGAUCCUGGCUCAGGAUGAACGCUGGCGGCGUGCCUAAUACAUGCAAGUCGAGCGAACAGAUAAGGAGCUUGCUCCUUUGACGUUAGCGGCGGACGGGUGAGUAACACGUGGGUAACCUACCUAUAAGACUGGAAUAACUCCGGGAAACCGGGGCUAAUGCCGGAUAAUAUUUAGAACCGCAUGGUUCUAAAGUGAAAGAUGGUUUUGCUAUCACUUAUAGAUGGACCCGCGCCGUAUUAGCUAGUUGGUGGGGUAAUGGCUUACCAAGGCAACGAUACGUAGCCGACCUGAGAGGGUGAUCGGCCACACUGGAACUGAGACACGGUCCAGACUCCUACGGGAGGCAGCAGUAGGGAAUCUUCCGCAAUGGGCGAAAGCCUGACGGAGCAACGCCGCGUGAGUGAUGAAGGUCUUUGGAUCGUAAAACUCUGUUAUUAGGGAAGAACAAAUGUGUAAGUAACUGUGCACGUCUUGACGGUACCUAAUCAGAAAGCCACGGCUAACUACGUG